GUUUAUCUGCGCAACUUUGUUGAAACGUUUGGUAGAUUCUUCUUUCCAGCUGGAACAAACUAGACGGCAAUUUCCAACAUCACGUGGAGACUGAAGGGAAUUGGACUCCGAGUGAAAUGAGAUCUCCAAAUUGAAGCUCUUGUCGUCUCACAAGCUUCGUGCCAUUGAUGAAAGUUUCGCAUGUUUCAUUUUGAAGGGGCUAUAUCAAUUUCAGAAUUAAUUUUAAUAGUGUUCAUAUUAUAUAAAAAUUAAGUUUACAAAAAUGACAAACCUUCACGUUCUGAAUGUAAUAUGAGCCAUUAAAGCAUACAAUUUCACAAUGGGAUCCUUUAGAAACGCCCGGGCCGAAACAAAAUAAGUACUCCCCUUGCGUCUCGCGACUCUCAAAUGCCUGACCAAUUGUGUACUGUAAUUAUUGAAAUAAAUUAUUGAACAUA